AUAUAUAUGUUCCAACGCUCACACCAUAUAAAACACUGCGUUUGGAGAAUCCAAGUUUUAUCCAAAGCAAUGGCAGUCAUAAUCCAUUGCUCUUGCUUCCUUACCCCACCAUGCUCCCUUCUCUCACCAUCUUUCGCCAAGCCCCAAUUUUCUGGGAAGAUAGCAUCGUUUAUAUUUAAAGUAGGAAACUUUGGAUAAUCCUUUAAAUAUGUUAAUGGACUGGUUGAGAUUCAUCAUCUGUUGCAAGAAAUGGAUAAACAGUCCUUACUCCAUUGCCAAAAACCGGAGAGAGAGCGGGUCUUGGAUCGUGUUUCAUCACCUUAUGAUGAACUUUUACAACAGUUAUCUGCUCUUGAGGUAUGACGACUGUUCUAAUUGAUUGAAGCUGAUGCUGGGACAGCGGCUUUGGAUUAAGAGACCCAGUGACAGCAUUUCUUGCCACCAACGUUUUGAUAUUUACUGCUCCUUUCAAAGCCCUGGCAGAAACGUGUGAAUCUGAUAACUCCUUUUUCAACAUGCCUUUACUGCUAUUUGUAGCCCUUAUUGGAGGUAUCUUCGUAUUUUUUAGUCAUCUUUGGCCCUGGUCCAUAAUACAGCUCUGAGUGAUUUGCAAAUGACAUACAAACAUAAGUCAGCAAUUGAUAUUCCAUUGCUCAAACAAUCUUUUCUUUGCUUGAAGAAAUUGUUACACCUAAAAUACCCAGACUCAGAUUCACGUUAGGAUAGCAUGUAGAAGAGAUUCUAAAUACAUUACUUGCACAGUUAAAGAUAUGUCUCAGUUCACAAAAGCCUAGAAAUACAUAACUGUCUUCAGUCUGAAAUACAAAUUUGUAACUGAGUGAUGGCAACAUCUAAAACUACAAAUUUCGCCUUCUAAACCCUGGAAUUCAUCCUGAACACUGACGCGUCUAUAUAACUUGAGAAAAAAAGCUUGUCUAUAUAACUUAAGAAAAUAAUCUUCCCAUGUCUAUGUAUCUCUGUUUACCCAUCUUGUCUCCAUCUCUGAUUUUGUAAUAUAUGGUUAUGUCUAAGCCAAACCAAGUACAAAAGAGGAAUUAGGAUUAUGAUACCUUAAGGCAUUGCCUUGGAUCCAUGUGCAUAAAGUUUUAAGAUACUCAAAGCAUUGCUUCCAUUGGGAACCAUGUAUUUGGUAAUGAAGAGUCCCAAGUCAUUUAUGAAUAGAGUAGUAGCGGUAAAACAUAAAGGGAGGAAACUGUGAAGCCUUUGAACUUGUACCAACUUUAUGUGAUUGUUAUGUGGUUUUAUUUUUUAUGGAUAACCGUGCAAUCUAUUGAAGCCUAAAACUUUUCAUUUCUAAUUGCUUGGUUCCUAAACCUGGAGUUCAUUUCCCUGUAAGUUAGCAGAAAUUAUAACAGUCUCUAACUUAAGUUAGAUUCAUUCAGGUGCUUCAUUGCAAAGAGAAGCCAUUAAAUACCACUCAAUGGUUUUAGCAAUCUCUGAGCUACAAGGAGAGUCGUCCGGAAAUACAAAAGCUUAUGGAGCAAUUGCGGAUUGCUACACAGAACUUGGAGACCAUGAGAAAGCAGGGAAAUUCUGUGAUAAAUAUUAUUGCUAGGUUGGAAAUAGAAUGAUGAAGCUGCGUAUCCGAUAGUUUAUAUUUCUUCCUUUAAUGUAGUUCCAAAUAGUUGUAGAGAUAGUGGACAGCUUGUGGAUUUCUCCCACUUCAUUAUCGCUGUUGUUUGUCUCAGACUUGCAGAUACUGUGAUUGUGAAUUUAACAAUGAUGUGGUUGGAUCAUAUGUUGUAACUACUGUUUCUUCCAGUUAUCCCAACGUUCAGCGUCCAUGUUUGUUGCAGAUACUCCUAGUUUUGCUCGAAUUUUUUCACUUCUGAUUUUAUUUCUUUUAAUCUUACCACACGUCUAUCUAAACAUUUCCGUUUUAGUUACUCAUUUUCUUCUCAUGUUGUUUCUUAAUAACCCAACACUCAAGUAUCGUAAAACAAUGCAGGUUUUACAAUUAUUUUAUACAACUUCGUCUCUA